GGUAGCGAAAUUCCUUGUCGGUUAAAUACCGACCUGCAUGAAUGGCGUAACGAGAUGGGAGCUGUCUCAAAGAGGGAUCCAGUGAAAUUGUAGUGGAGGUGAAAAUUCCUCCUACCCGCGGCAAGACGGAGAGACCCCGUGGACCUUUACUACAGCUUGACACUGCUAUUUGGAUAAGAAUGUGCAGGAUAGGUGGGAGGCUUUGAGUAAUAGACGCUAGUUUAUUAUGAGCCAUUGUUGAGAUACCACUCUUUCUUAUUUGGGUAGCUAACCAGCUUGAGUUAUCCUCAAGUGGGACAAUGUCUGGUGGGUAGUUUGACUGGGGCGGUCGCCUCCCAAAUAAUAACGGAGGCUUACAAAGGUUGGCUCAGAACGGUUGGAAAUCGUUCGUAGAGUAUAAAGGUAUAAGCCAGCUUAACUGCAAGACAUACAAGUCAAGCAGAGACGAAAGUCGGUCUUAGUGAUCCGGUGGUUCUGUGUGGAAGGGCCAUCGCUCAAAGGAUAAAAGGU
rnacentral:rRNA from 1 species